GAGUUUGAUCGUGGCUCAGAUUGAACGCUGGCGGCAUGCCUUACACAUGCAAGUCGAACGGCAGCACGGGAGCUUGCUCCUGGUGGCGAGUGGCGAACGGGUGAGUAAUGCAUCGGAACGUAUCCUGGAGUGGGGGAUAACGUAGCGAAAGUUACGCUAAUACCGCAUAUUCUGUGAGCAGGAAAGCGGGGGACCUUCGGGCCUCGCGCUCUUGGAGCGGCCGAUGUCGGAUUAGCUAGUUGGUGAGGUAAAGGCUCACCAAGGCGACGAUCCGUAGCAGGUCUGAGAGGAUGAUCUGCCACACUGGAACUGAGACACGGUCCAGACUCCUACGGGAGGCAGCAGUGGGAAUUUUGGACAAUGGGGGCAACCCUGAUCCAGCCAUGCCGCGUGAGUGAAGAAGGCCUCGGUUG
rnacentral:rRNA from 3 species